UUGAGAGAACUCGGGUGAAGGAACUAGGCAAAAUGGUGCCGUAACUUCGGGAGAAGGCACGCUGACACGUAGGUGAAGUGAUUUACUCAUGGAGCUGAAGUCAGUCGAAGAUACCAGCUGGCUGCAACUGUUUAUUAAAAACACAGCACUGUGCAAACACGAAAGUGGACGUAUACGGUGUGACGCCUGCCCGGUGCCGGAAGGUUAAUUGAUGGGGUCAGCGCAAGCGAAGCUCCUGAUCGAAGCCCCGGUAAACGGCGGCCGUAACUAUAACGGUCCUAAGGUAGCGAAAUUCCUUGUCGGGUAAGUUCCGACCUGCACGAAUGGCGUAAUGAUGGCCAGGCUGUCUCCACCCGAGACUCAGUGAAAUUGAACUCGCUGUGAAGAUGCAGUGUACCCGCGGCAAGACGGAAAGACCCCGUGAACCUUUACUAUAGCUUGACACUGAACAUUGAGCCUUGAUGUGUAGGAUAGGUGGGAGGCUUUGAAGUGUGGACGCCAGUCUGCAUGGAGCCGACCUUGAAAUACCACCCUUUAAUGUUUGAUGUUCUAACGUGGACCCGUAAUCCGGGUUGCGGACAGUGUCUGGUGGGUAGUUUGACUGGGGCGGUCUCCUCCUAAAGAGUAACGGAGGAGCACGAAGGUUGGCUAAUCCUGGUCGGACAUCAGGAGGUUAGUGCAAUGGCAUAAGCCAGCUUGACUGCGAGCGUGACGGCGCGAGCAGGUGCGAAAGCAGGUCAUAGUGAUCCGGUGGUUCUGAAUGGAAGGGCCAUCGCUCAACGGAUAAAAGGUACUCCGGGGAUAACAGGCUGAUACCGCCCAAGAGUUCAUAUCGACGGCGGUGUUUGGCACCUCGAUGUCGGCUCAUCACAUCCUGGGGCUGAAGUAGGUCCCAAGGGUAUGGCUGUUCGCCAUUUAAAGUGGUACGCGAGCUGGGUUUAGAACGUCGUGAGACAGUUCGGUCCCUAUCUGCCGUGGGCGCUGGAGAACUGAGGGGGGCUGCUCCUAGUACGAGAGGACCGGAGUGGACGCAUCACUGGUGUUCGGGUUGUCAUGCCAAUGGCACUGCCCGGUAGCUAAAUGCGGAAGAGAUAAGUGCUGAAAGCAUCUAAGCACGAAACUUGCCCCGAGAUGAGUUCUCCCUGAGACUUUAAGUCUCCUGAAGGAACGUUGAAGACGACGACGUUGAUAGGCCGGGUGUGUAAGCGCAGCGAUGCGUUGAGCUAACCGGUACUAAUGAACCGUGAGGCUUAACCUUACAAC
rnacentral:rRNA from 1 species